GUUCACUUAGGCAGCACACGUACUAAAAUUUGAACAAUGCAGAGAUUACCAUGGCCCCUGCAUUAAUGAUGACAUGCAAAUUCGUGAAACAUUCCAUAUUUUA
rfam:Otolemur garnettii contig013874, whole genome shotgun sequence.